UGGGGGAUAUUGCACAAUGGGCGAAAGCCUGAUGCAGCGACGCCGCGUGGGGGAUGAAGGCCUUCGGGUUGUAAACUUCUUUUGCUCUGAACAAGGCAUGCUAAUGGGUGUGUUGAGUGUAGGGGUUGAUUAGCGCCGGCUAACUACGUGCCAGCAGCCGCGGUAAUACGUAGGGCGCGAGCGUUGUCCGGAAUUAUUGGGCGUAAAGGGCUUGUAGGUGGCUGGUUGCGUCUGUCGUGAAAGCUCAUGGCUUAACUGUGGGUUUGCGGUGGGUACGGGCUGGCUUGAGUGCAGUAGGGGAGGCUGGAAUUCCUGGUGUAGCGGUGGAAUGCGGAGAUAUCAGGAGGAAUACCGGUGGCGAAGGCGGGUCUCUGGGCUGUUACUGACACUGAGGAGCGAAAGCAUGGGGAGCGAACAGG
rnacentral:rRNA from 1 species